GAGCCGCCACGGCCUAAACUUAGCAAUAGCAGUUACCGCCAGUGUCGAGAUAGUGCCCCGCAGUUCACAAGUCCUGAGAUCCUGGGCGGCUAGUCGGCUACGUCCCUUUUCCAGGGAACAAAUCUCUUGCUACCAAAUGGGAUGACCAGGACCGACAAUAAUCUGUAUUCGAAAACUUAUGUUGAGAUAUGAGGGACUUGAAGUUGAAGUAGCUCAAAGGUACCUAGCAGAGGUGCAUGUCCAGGUUAUGCCACUUAUUGAAGCAGAAAACUAUAGUAUGAACUAUGAAGACUCUGGAAAUUCACAGGGGACAUAAAGGACAUGCGUCUAUUGAAGAAGCUGCUGACCCUUGUCUCAUGCCUCUCGUCUAUGAGGCGAAGGGAGAUUAUGAAUCUGCACUCGAGCACCUUGUCCUUGCUUUCAUGCUAACGGUUUCCAAUGUGCAAGACAAUGAGGUUGCCGCUAUUGAUGUGGGCAUUAGGGACAUUUACUCGUGUCUUUGGCUCUUUGAUGAGGCUGUUUUUUCUUACCAGAAAGCUUUCAUCUAUAAAUCUACAACGGGCGAAAAUCAUCUUUCGGUGGCAUCAGCUUUAUUCACCUUGCUGAUCUGUAUUACACUAUUACAAGACUGGGAAUUUGAUAGAGUGAAUCCUACUGUGUAGAAGCUGCAACUUGGAUAUUAGAGUACAUCCUGAAGAUGAGGGAAGAAAUGCUUUGGGAUGGCAAAUCCAAAUGUUGAUGAUUCAAAGAAAACAUUCGCUGAUAUUUUGAAAGAACGAAGGGCGCGAGUCAGGAAGGGAACAGAAAGAGAAAAUCGAUGAGAAUUUACUCCGCAGCUCCAACUCCCAAAGGAUGAAGAGGAAAGGAAUAGAACUCGACCAACAAUGCCGCCUUUGGCUGCUAAUUCCCUUACUGCCAGCUUUAUGAUUUAUCUGGUUUGUAGAUAUAAUUGUGUUAGAAAGCUUUCACUUCCCUGUAAAUUCCUUGGUCACUCACUGGAAUGCUGGAUCUUUGAAUAUCUUACGUGCAUUUUUCUCCAGUCCUCAACAUUUAAGACUCAAAGAGUGCUUGAGAGAAAUGUAACUACAAG